CUGCUACAGCCAAAGGAGAAAUGAACUCAUUCUGACCUACACAGCAGAGCUCAACAGAGAGAUUCCUUCUACCACCUUGGGAAGAAUGUCCCAUUGUGGCAUCACAGUUACCAUGGUUUCACCAAGCAAACGUCUAGAUAUGGAGACCUAGGAGGAGCCGGGAUGAAAAGCCUGCCUAUUUCUUAAACUUAGCAGGACUCUUCUGGAAGCCUGGCUUUCCCUGGGCUUGGCCAAGAAUACAUCCCUUUUGCUAGAUCCCAAAGCCCGGUCCAUGCAGCUGUGGUCUGUCUACCUCCUCAGCACCCACUCUGUGCUUUCAUGACUUUGUCAGACUGGAUGGUAAAAAGCCCACUACUAAGCUGGAUUUGUUUUUUCCAAUCCCCAUGAGCAUUCUGAUCUGGAGCUCAGUUUUCCUUAGCCUUUCAACUUGCAGGUCCAAGCCAAGCCACCAGACUGGCUCUGCCAAGCCAUGGGGCCAGAUGGGAUCUGCCCUCCUGCCACUGUUAGCAGCUUUAGUUUUAGCACAAAUGCCAGGACUCGAGAGAACUGUUGACAACUUAGUGGUAAGAUGUAACUCCAUGGAAGCAGAGGGCUCACAGGCUGCUGGCUCAGUCGCAUGAAAGAUAUUUAUUGGACAGAUCUUCAGUGUGACCUCCGAUGUACAUGCUGGAACUGUUUCUGAGAGCUCUCUCCUGCUACGCUGGUCAUUUUGCCUAUAUCCCUGUGCCAAGUCACACAAUCUUAAGUAUUAAAGCUUUGCAAAGUUUUAA